rnacentral:rRNA from 1 species
CCUACGGGUGGCAGCAGUGAGGGAUAUUGGUCAAUGGGCGCGAGCCUGAACCAGCCAAGUAGCGUGAAGGAUGACUGCCCUACGGGUUGUAAACUUCUUUUAUAAGGGAAUAAAGUGAGGCGCGUGUGCCUUUUUGUAUGUACUUUAUGAAUAAGGAUCGGCUAACUCCGUGCCGGCAGCCGCGGUAAUAAGGAGGAUCCGAGGGUUAUCCGGAUUUAUUGGGUUGAAAGGGUGAGUAGGCGGAAUAUCAAGUCGGCGGUAAAAAUUCGGGGCUCAACCCCGUCGUGCCGUUGAAACUGAGGUUCUUGAGUGGGCGAGAAGUAGGCGGAAUGCGUGGUGUAGCGGUGAAAUGCAUAGAUAUCACGCAGAACUCCGAUUGCGAAGGCAGCAUACCGGCGCCCAACUGACGCUGAAGCACGAAAGCGUGGGGAUCGAACAGGAUUAGAUACCCUAGUAGUC